rnacentral:rRNA from 2 species
GCCAACGACCAUCCCACGUAGGAACUACUGGUUCUCGUUCGAUCACCAAAGUCAAGCUAUGUCGGGCACGGUUAGUACUUGGAUGGGUGACCGCUUGGGAACACCGUGUGUUGUUGGUU